GGCGACGUGAAGCUGCUAACGCACAACCUGCUGAGCUCGCAUGUGCUGGGGGGGUGGGGCCCCGUGGCUUCCCACUGCGCCUCCAGGCCACCGAGGUCCGCAUCAACCCCGUGGAGUUCAACCCCGACUUCGUGGCGCGUAUGAUACCCAAGGUGGAGUGGGCGGCGCUUCUGGAGGCGGCGGAUACCCUGCAUCUGGUCGAGGUGCCCAAAGGACCGAUUGAAGGGUAUGAGCACGAUGAGAAAUUCCUGAGGCAGAUGCACCACGUGCUGCUGGAGGUGGAUGUGCUGGAGGGCACCUUGCAGUGCCCAGAGUCUGGACGUCUGUUCCCCAUCAGUCGCGGGAUCCCCAACAUGCUGCUGAGUGAUGAGGAAACCGAGACUUAAUCGUGCCAGGCGCUAGUUUUUCAGUCUGUAACCAGGAAUGUUUUUGUUGAUGUAUAUCCUGUUUGCUAGGUCUGUCGUGUAUCCCCAAACCUGGACCCAGUGACACACGAAACACAGUGUUCUUGAGCUCGAUAUAUUUCUUUUUCUCAUUAAAGUUUCAAAACCAAAAAAA